rnacentral:lncRNA from 1 species
UUUUUUUUUUAAGAUUAUUUAUUAUUUAUCUGUUCUUAGAUUUGUAUUUAUUUAUUCAUGAGAGACACACAGAGAGACACUGAGACAUAGGCAGAAGGAGAAGCAGGCUCCCUCCAGGGAGGGAUUCCAGGACUCCAGGAUCACAACUUGAGCCAAAGGUAUAUGCUCAACCACUGAGCAACCCACGUGCCCUUAAAUAAAUAUUUUCAAUGCCUCAAUUACUUCAUCACUACUCAGGAAUUAGCAUUAAGAAGACAAUUAUUUCUACUUAUUCAUGAGAUAAGUAAUAUAGAAAGACUGAAUAAUCAAACCUCCUUUAAACAUGAGCAUAUAUCAUAAUUUACUUAGAAACCUAGAAAGGUGAGACUUUCAAGGACAAUGGUGGUAUAGCAGGAUCCUAAGCUCACUUUGAUCUAGGGAUACAACUAGUUAACACCCACAUCAGUAUCAAUAACCCAGGAAAGUUCUGAACAAUGGCAGAACAGACCCUCUACAGUUAAAUAUAGAGAAGAGACCCUGUAGAAGAGUACAGGAGGGCAAAGAUGUGGUCAGGAGCCAAAUGACCCAUGGGACUGUCCACUAGAGAAACUUAGUGGGUGCAAAGAGGAGAAAGAAACAGACCCUCACACCAGGCAUGGUAGGCACGGGGAACCCACAUGAGGAAGACGAAUCCUCAUAAUAUUUGGCUUUGAAAACCUGAGGAUCCCAACAAUCAGUGGCGCUUAAAAUCUGGAACUAAAAAAUCAGUGGGUUCCACUCUGUGAGAAUUAGGAGGGCAGAGUCCCUGUCCUUAAAGAGACAGCACAACAAACAGACCAGCUGAGGUAGAAGACAGAACCAGCAGUUUGAAAAAUGCCUGGUAUAUAUUAGUGGGAGAUUUACUUACUAAUCUCAGAGCCUGAGGGAUCUUUGGAAGACCUCACUAAGGAAAAAAAAAGAGCUGACAAGUGCCAUUUUCCUAUCCCAACUCUAGCCUAGACACAUGGAUUCCGGUGGGAACCAGCACACUCUCCACCUACCUUGCUAACAUCACACCCCAGGCCGACAUGCUUCUGUGGAUCUGCCCCCUCUUGCUGUCCUGGGCAGGAGUUUUGGGAAGCUACAGCCCCACUCCCACAAUGGACUAGUGUGGAAAUUGCUGGCACUGGGUUCCUUGCUCCUGUUCUCCUGUAGACCUGCCCCCUCCAAUACGCUUUUGUCCAGUGCCCACCCAAAGUACUACCACAAGCCUGGCAGUGUGCAAUCAGUAUCCACAGGGGCCAACACCACUCCAAAGUGAAUCUUGACUCAAACAGAGGGGAAGAUAACGACUCACAACAGUACAACUGCAGCCCCAGAAAUGCACUGGGGCAGACAUCUGAUCUUACUACAGGCCUUGCCCAUCAAUGAACACUCAUAAGACAACACAGGUAAAAUGCCCUACAGUUCAGUGCUACGUAUCUCUGGCAAACAGCUGGUCUGACUCAACUGAAGACAAACAAGGGCCCAGACUAGCCAAAUAACAACAUAGGGACCAAACACUGCCCACAAGAAGCAAAGAGAGCCAUUGCAUAUGGCUAGCCUGAAGGAAAACAUGGCUUAGCCACAACAGUAGGGACAUACAUAAAACGUGAUGGAGAAAGGAAUAAAGAAUGAGUUCAAACUUAAGUGACCAUUACCUUAAUAUAGACUGCUAUAUGCAUAAGAUGUUAUAUAUAAACCUAACGGUAACCACAAAUCAAAAGCCUUUAAUAGAUAUGCAAAAAACAAAGAGAAAAUAAUCCAAGUAUAUCACUAUAGAAAGCCAGCAAACCGUGAGAGAGUAGGAGAAUAAAGGAACAAAGAACAACAACAACAACAACAAAAAAAAAAUCCCAUAAAAUAAGUAACAAA